GGGCUCGUAGCGUAACCAGUCUUGAAUAAAAGUUACAAGUUUUAAGCAAGGCUUAAAAUGGAUAUCGCGCUUGGCUUCGAACCAAGCGAUUAUGGGUUCAAAUCCCAUCGGGCCCG
rnacentral:tRNA from 1 species